AACCCCGCUUGCAGGGGAUGUGGCCGGUGCCUCACUGAGCCGGCCACACCGCCCAGGGUCAGAAACCACAUCCCGCCCUGCCUUCGCCGCUCCCGGGCAAGGGCACCGGCGAGGGUGCUGCCUGCCUGGCCCCACAGCCUGAUGCCCAUUGAUUCGCCGCUGCUGCGGGGCCCCAUUCGUUGGUUGGUUGGUUGGCUCAUUCGUUCAUCCUGCGCUCUGUGCCUGGAGCCUGGAGGCUGCAGCAGGCCUGGCCCUGCUCAGGUGCUGUGAUGCGGCUGACGCCCUUCUGUCUGGCCAGCUCUUCCCAGGUGAGCAAUGGGGCAAACCGUUGUUGAUGAGCUGGGCAAGAGCUAGGUCGUCGUCCUGGGAGGGGCCCCGAGUCCAGCUAGAGGAUGAGCAGCUCCCACAGAAGAAAUCAGACCCACAUGUGCUCGUGCAUGUGCAGAUGGCCACAUGGCCCCAGACACACACGUGUGCGUGAUGCAGCUCAGGGCCCCCACCUCACUCAGCCACCAGCCUCGGGGGGUGGGACGGCUUCCUUCCGCUUCUCGAGGGUCGGUGGUGGCCUAGGGCCGAGCCCUGCCUGCUCAGGCUGCGGUUCCUCAUCAGAGACAGACGAGGUAGGGGAGUUCUUGGGCCACUUCCUGCCAGGACCCCAAGGGGUGGUAGAAGUGGGUCACCUUCCAAACAGCCCUGACAGAGGGUCUUCGGGGUGCCAAUGGGAGGAAGGGGCAAUCCCUCCAGCCCCUCCUGGUGCCAGAAACAGGACCAGGAUCCGAGGUCCAAGGCUGUCCCGGGGACAGGGCUCGGCACAGCCGCUGGAAACAUCGGGGUCUUCGCGUUUGGGAAGAAACCUUGGGUGGUGCCCUUCGGGGCCGCAGGAGCCCACCCCCAGGGAAAACCUCUCAGGCUGUGUGGCAGCUGGGACUGCUUAGCAGCCCCUGGUGUUGCCUUCCGGGCACCUGGGCUCCUGUGGGCCCAACAGAGGCCGAGGGGUUGGCGGGUUAGCAGGAAGAAGCUGAGGGUGGAGCUGCAGCCUGCAGCCUCAGAGCCCGGGCCAGGACGGGGCGGGAGGCAGACCCGGAGCCCCUCCCUCACUUGUCCAGAAGUUCCUGGGACACAGGGUGAGGAGCCCAGAGCAGCAACGUGCCUGCUGAGGACCCAUCAGCCACCUGGGCAGUGCCUCCAGGACUGUCCAACCUGAGAAUGACAGAAAAUACUGAAAAUAAGGAAGAACGUGUGAGGACGACAAGGCUGGCAGGGAGACGGGAAGGGGGCCUUCCUCUCUGUGGAUGUGCAGGGCAUUUGGGGCCACCAGUCAAGGGAGGGCUUCCAGACGCCUGCCCAGCGAUGGUCCCCGGCGAGGGCAGUGCAGCUCUGCUUCACCAGCCAGGAACUAAAACCCACCUGUGUCCUCAAUGAACAAGACCACCAACCACUUGUGUUUUUAAUUCAUAUGAUAUGUCCUGUACAGAAAUUAACUAGACCUAGAUGUAGCCACAUGGAUUGAGAAAAAAAAAAAAACCCUGCACUAAACGGACACUCACAGUGAUUUAGUGCUGUACAAUUUAUGAAAUCUUAGAAAUCAGUGGUACGUGUUAUUUAUGGAUGCUGAGACUGGUAGGCAGGGUUUAAAACCACAAACAGAAGUGAGCUGAAGUGCCUAGUGGGCCACCUCUGGGCCUGGGAGAGAGGUACAAAUGGGUCUUCACUGUCAUGUUUUCUUUUGUGGGAAACCUAAAUUAAACUACUUCGUAUUUGUUAUGUACGAAUAAAGAGUUUCAAGGUGUUUGUGACACAA